AUUGAACGCUGGCGGCAUGCUUUACACAUGCAAGUCGAACGGUAACGCGGGGGCAACCCUGGCGACGAGUGGCGAACGGGUGAGUAAUACAUCGGAACGUGCCCAGUAGUGGGGGAUAGCUCGGCGAAAGCCGGAUUAAUACCGCAUACGACCUACGGGUGAAAGCGGGGGAUCGCAAGACCUCGCGCUACUGGAGCGGCCGGUGGCAGAUUAGCUUGUUGGUGGGGUAAAAGCCUACCAAGGCUACGAUCUGUAGCUGGUCUGAGAGGACGACCAGCCACACUGGGACUGAGACACGGCCCAGACUCCUACGGGAGGCAGCAGUGGGGAAUUUUGGACAAUGGGCGCAAGCCUGAUCCAGCAAUGCCGCGUGUGUGAUGAAGGCCUUCGGGUUGUAAAGCACUUUUAGUGGGAACGAAACGGUCCGGGCCAAUACCCUGGACUACUGACGGUACCCGCAGAAUAAGCACCGGCUAACUACGUGCCAGCAGCCGCAGUAA
rnacentral:rRNA from 1 species